rnacentral:rRNA from 1 species
UGCCAGCCGCCGCGGUAAUACGGAGGGUGCGCGCGUUAAUCGGAAUUACUGGGCGUAAAGCGCGCGUAGGCGGUUUUGUAAGUCGGAUGUGAAAUCCCUGGGCUUAACCUGGGAACUGCAUUCGAUACUGCAUAACUAGAGUAUGGUAGAGGGAAGUGGAAUUUCCGGUGUAGCGGUGAAAUGCGUAGAUAUCGGAAGGAACAUCAGUGGCGAAGGCGACCUCCUGGACUGAUAUUGACGCUGAGGUGCGAAAGCGUGGGGAGCAAACAGGAUUAGAUA